rnacentral:lncRNA from 1 species
CAAUCUUAAUCUCCGAUUCACAACUACAACCACCCCAUCUCUGUAUCUGAAUUUUGAUUCAUUGACACUAACGCAUUGCCCAUGAGGCCACAACCUCCACCUUCAUCUCUACAAACACCACCAUCGCUUCCCCAUUGAUAGCCCUAAGCUCUCGAUCUUCUACUACUUCCACAAAAGCUAGCUCCUGCACUUAGUCCAAUUAGUGUCUUCACCUCACCGUCGAGCUUUGCACCAUUAUCAUUGCCUCCGACUACCGCC